AAAACAUGUAGGAAGCCACCUGAUGACUAAGAGAUGAGAUCUUAGAGCCGCUUUUGGGAAUUACUCCUGCUUGCUAUACCGAAGAAAGUAAGCUCCUGAAUUUUGAGUGUUACCGUAAUAUGAUGAAGCCUGGGUAUGCAAGAAGAAGAGGGGGAAGAGUUCAAGAAUCAAACAUCAAGAACUGAAGAGCCCUCAUCUGAUGGAAGCAGAAGCAGACACCCACAGAUAUACACUGAACUGAACUCUGGAACCUAGUUGCAGAGAGGGAGGAAUGAAGAUCAAAGGGGUCAGUACCAGGCUGGUGAAACCCGCAGAAAUAGCUGGCCUGAACAAGUGGGAGCACAUCGACCCCAGAUGCUGUCUGGGAGGCCAGCACAGGACGGAUCCAGACCCCUGAACAUGGAUGCCAAUGAGGAGGCCUUUGCACUUUAGAAGGCCCCUGGUAGUGGAUUAGUAUUUUUCCCGGGUGUAAGAAGGGACUUUGAGAGCCCAUCAAAGAUGCACUCUUGGCCUGGACACAUGGGGGAGGGUCUAGGCCCUGCCCAGGAUGAUGUGGUGGACUUUGGG
ensembl:lncRNA